AAAGUCGUAACAAGGUUUCCGUAGGUGAACCUGCGGAAGGAUCAUUAAAAAAGAUUAGGUCUGAUUCUUCAUUCCAAUCUCCACCCUGUGUAUUUGUCCUUUGUACGCUUCCGUCCGGCGUGGGUCUUCGGAUCCCCUCCUGUCUGGCCCAAUCGUGGCUGGAUUGGGAGUGCCUGGACGGGAGCCAUUAGCAAACUCCAUAUUUAGUUGUACGUAAUGUCUGAAAAUGUUGCAAAGCAAUAUUUAAAACUUUCAACAACGGAUCUCUUGGUUCUC
rnacentral:misc_RNA from 1 species